GGACGGAAAGUGGGCGGCAGUGGUGGGGAACUUGUUGUUCUGUCAAGCUUCGCAGCGGGAUGUCCUCGGUGACAGCUCGGAAGGUAGCAGCGAGGUGCGGGAGGCUCGCUGGUGGAUUGGGAAGGCGGCGGCGUUGAGUGGAGAGGGGGUCUCCCCGGUGAGCUAGCGCGGCGGCGUGUGUGCAUGUGACAGCCCUAGUAACUAAGCAACUAAAUUAGGGAAUCAUCGAAGUGAUUAAGAAACUAAAUCAAAGAAUCAACAGAAGAAUAAGGAAUAAGUGAGAGAUAACUCUAAGUUGCUAAGAGUUAAGAACCCACAAACAUCUUAAAUUUUUGGCGAGAUGUUAAAAACUUUUUCUGUUGAGAAUAACUUUUGAGGCCGAUAAAAACUGACUUCACAUAAGAAUUUAAAAUUUUAGACAAUAUAAAAGUGGUAGAACUUUUCAAGUUGAACACCUUCCACUCACAGCACUUCUUCUGAUUUUGAGCAAAGGAUGUUCCACAAUCGAUUAGAAGAUCGGUCAAAUUUCAAAUCCGAUUCAAAAAUAGCUUUUGACCGACGUUCCACCAAAGAUCCUACCAACCUAUCCCCAACUUCGUCGAGCUUUUCCUUGUUGAUCUUUAUAAAAGUCAUAGCACAUAUCUUGUUCCUGAACCUUCACUUUUGGAAAUUAAACUACGUAUUCGAACUUGGUGUGAGAAUACGCGUUAAACCUGACAACUUCACCACGACACGCAUCACAAGCAUCAUCAUGCAUAUUUAAGUCCCAUGAACAUCUUUUUGUGCAUAGUUGACUGUCAUAAGCAUCAUUUGUGCAUACAUGAAUGUUUUGGUAUGCAUUGUUAGGUACCCAGAAAUUCAUCCUUUAUUGGUGAAAAAUCAAACUUAUGAAGGAAACCCAAAUUCUUCCAUACAACUGUGCCC
rnacentral:lncRNA from 1 species